rnacentral:siRNA from 1 species
ACCACAACCAGUUCUCGGCAUUCU